CCUACGGGUGGCAGCAGUGGGGAAUAUUGCACAAUGGGGGAAACCCUGAUGCAGCGACGCCGCGUGAGUGAAGAAGGAUUUCGGGAUGUAAAGCUCUAUCAGCAGGGAAGAAAUAGCGACCUUUGGGUCGCCAGACGGUACCUGAUUAAGAAGCACCGGCUAACUACGUGCCAGCAGCCGCGGUAAUACGUAGGGGGCAAGCGUUAUCCGGAUUUACUGUGUGGAAAGGGAGCGUAGACGGCAGCGCAAGUAUGAAGGGAAAUGCCGGGGCUUAACCCCGGAACUGCGUUGGAAACUGUGCAGCUAGAGUGCAAGAGAGGUAAGUGGAAUUCCUAGUGUAGCGGUGAAAUGCGUAGAUAUUAGGAGGAACACCAGUGGCGAAGGCGGCUUACUGGACUGUAACUGACGUUGAGGCUCGAAAGCGUGGGGAGCAAACAGGAUUAGAUACCCUAGUAGUC
rnacentral:rRNA from 1 species